rnacentral:rRNA from 1 species
UACGGAGGGUGCGAGCGUUGUCCGGAAUCACUGGGCGUAAAGGGCGCGUAGGCGGUGCGAGAAGCGUGUGGUGAAAGGCCGGGGCUCAACCCCGGCUCGGCCGUGCGGACUCUCGCGCUUGGUGAGUGCUGUAGAGGCGGGCGGAAUUCCCAGUGUAGUGGUGAAAUACGUAGAGAUUGGGAAGAACACCAAUGGCGAAGGCAGCUCUCUGGGGACGGUACUGAUGCUGAGACGCGAAAAGCGUGGGGGAGCGAACAGG